rnacentral:rRNA from 1 species
UACGUAGGGUGCGAGCGUUGUCCGGAAUUAUUGGGCGUAAAGAGCUCGUAGGCGGUUUGUCGCGUCUGCUGUGAAAACUCGGGGCUUAACCCCGGGCCUGCAGUGGGUACGGGCAGACUAGAGUGCGGUAGGGGAGACUGGAAUUCCUGGUGUAGCGGUGAAAUGCGCAGAUAUCAGGAGGAACACCGGUGGCGAAGGCGGGUCUCUGGGCCGUAACUGACGCUGAGGAGCGAAAGCGUGGGGAGCGAUCCGG